rnacentral:lncRNA from 1 species
GAUUAUGUAGAUUUUUAAAAUAUCUAGAUCUAUUUGUGUAUUAGAUCUAUUUUUUAUCAAUUUAUGCAUUAAAUCUAUUUUGAUUAUGUCGAAUUAUUAUUUCUAUUUCGAUUGUAUGGGACUUACAAGAUCCAUUUGAGUCUUCUCUUCUCAAACUAUUCGCUUACUCGUGGGUGAUGGAGAUUUUGCUCUAAUGAUUUACAAGAGGCAAAGUCAUUAUGUUCGGGCAUCGAUGGGUUAUCGUGGAAGUUUAUUAUUGAUAAUGACACUACGAAGGGCGAUAGCUUGCUAUGAUCGCUACAACUGUUGCGGGAUGCUACUAUAGUUGUCGAUACAAUAUGGUGCAAUGGCCCUUAUCAAGGAGUUGUAGAGGGUGGAGUGCAACAUCAAUGGGUUAUCACGGAAGAGGUGUGACGACAUAUGAUGGCUGAGUGUCAUGGUGCUGAUCUAUAUAACGAUUACAUAGUGGGUCACCACCGUGGUUCUCGAUAGCUGUAGGUUGUGAUCGAGAUUGUUGGAGUCACUAGAGGCCACUUGUUCCAUGUGAUAGGGUUUUAAUGUUGAUGGCAUCGUAGUGUUUGGGCUAUGGGAUGAGGCACGAUGGUGGCUUGUGGUGCUGUUUCUAGCAAUGACCAUCGAUGAUGGCGUAUGAGAACAGUUGUGGAUGGGCAUGGUAAAAUGUUGCGAUGAUCGUAGGGGCUACCGAUUAGCAGCACGAGGAUAAUCACACACCAUAGUGACCGUAAAAGUCACCGGUUGACCACGUGAGGAUGAUCGAAAGGUACUCAUAGUCGACGAACAACUAUGCAUCGCAAUGACCGUAGGUAUCACAUAGGCACUACAACAAUUAAGAAAAAAUUUAAGAGUUUUCACAUAUUAAAAAUUAUUUUGCCCUUGAUAUUUCUCCCCUUCAGAAAUCAAAUAUUUUCAAUAUAUCCC